rnacentral:lncRNA from 1 species
GCUCGAGAGGCGCCAUUUCGGCCGGACGACCCCAGAAACCUAAAGCACUUGGCGCCCUUGCUGCUCUCAGCCCUGAGCGUGGAAACACAGCCAGCUUUUCCUCCUUGAAGUCUCAUUCUUGGGCUUCGGGACCGCUGCGGCAGUGACGUCAGCGGACCUCUCCAGCCCAGUCCGCCCAGCUACGUCACUGCCCGCAUCUCGGUGGAGCAGGUAGCAAGGGCUCCGCGGCAGGUGAGGCCCAGAGCCGUUCAGGCUUGCGGCCGGGGAGAGGAGCGGAGAACCCGAAGGGGGAGGGGGUUCCUGUGGAUGGUGGAGAAAAAAAACAGGUUAGAGAAAAAAGUAGCAUGCAAUGAAAGAACAAUGAGAAAGGAUGAUAUUUAGAAGACGGGGGGGGGGAGCAGCAUGCCCCCUUCUAACAAAAAGUGGUUUCUGUUUUCAGCUUUUGAGUUUUAGGAUGUGGAAGAGGUGAGGAGCUUCUGAUCUGUUUGAGUUCACAGCUAAGAGUUUGCUUCAAAUCUCACAGGAAAAGUUGGACUUGGACUUUUCAG